rnacentral:rRNA from 1 species
GACGUAGGAGGCGAGCGUUGUCCGGAUUCAUUGGGCGUAAAGAGCGCGCAGGCGGCUUGGUAAGUCGGAUGUGAAAACCCGAGGCUCAACCUCGGGCGUGCAUCCGAAACUGCUCGGCUAGAGGUAGGUAGGGGAGAUCGGAAUUCCUGGUGUAGCGGUGAAAUGCGCAGAUAUCAGGAGGAACACCGGUGGCGAAGGCGGAUCUCUGGGCCUUACCUGACGCUGAGGCGCGAAAGCUAGGGGAGCGAACAGG